UGAGAAAUAUUGCACAAUGGAGGAAACUCUGAUGCAGCAACGCCGCGUGGAGGAUGACGCAUUUCGGUGUGUAAACUCCUUUUAAGAGGGAAGAUUAUGACGGUACCUCUUGAAUAAGCACCGGCUAACUCCGUGCCAGCAGCCGCGGUAAUACGGAGGGUGCAAGCGUUACUCGGAAUCACUGGGCGUAAAGGGUGCGUAGGCUGACUUUUAAGUCAGGCGUGAAAUCCAAUGGCUUAACCAUUGAACUGCGCUUGAAACUGGGAGUCUAGAGUUCAGAAGGGGCAGAUGGAAUUAGUGGUGUAGGGGUAAAAUCCGUAGAUAUCACUAGGAAUAUCAAAAGCGAAGGCGAUCUGCUGGGAUGAUACUGACGCUGAGGCACGAAAGCGUGGGGAGCAAACAG
rnacentral:rRNA from 1 species